UACUGGAAACGGUAGCUAAUACCGCAUAACGUCGCAAGACCAAAGUGGGGGACCUUCGGGGCUCACACCAUCGGAUGAACCCAGAUGGGAUUAGCUAGUAGGUGGGGUAAUGGCUCACCUAGGCGACGAUCCCUAGCUGGUCUGAGAGGAUGACCAGCCACACUGGAACUGAGACACGGUCCAGACUCCUACGGGAGGCAGCAGUGGGGAAUAUUGCACAAUGGGGGAAACCCUGAUGCAGCCAUGCCGCGUGUGUGAAGAAGGCCUUCGGGUUGUAAAGCACUUUCAGCGGGGAGGAAGGCGGUGGCGUUAAUAGCGCUAUCGAUUGACGUUACCCGCAGAAGAAGCACCGGCUAACUCCGUGCCAGCAGCCGCGGUAAUACGGAGGGUGCGAGCGUUAAUCGGAAUUACUGGGCGUAAAGCGUACGCAGGCGGUCUGUUAAGUCAGAUGUGAAAUCCCCGGGCUUAACCUGGGAACUGCAUUUGAAACUGGCAGGCUAGAGUCUCGUAGAGGGGGGUAGAAUUCCAGGUGUAGCGGUGAAAUGCGUAGAGAUCUGGAGGAAUACCGGUGGCGAAGGCGGCCCCCUGGACGAAGACUGACGCUCAGGUACGAAAGCGUGGGGAGCAAACAGGAUUAGAUACCCUGGUAGUCCACGCUGUAAACGAUGUCGAUUUGAAGGUUGUGGCCUUGAGCCGUGGCUUUCGGAGCUAACGCGUUAAAUCGACCGCCUGGGGAGUACGGCCGCAAGGUUAAAACUCAAAUGAAUUGACGGGGGCCCGCACAAGCGGUGGAGCAUGUGGUUUAAUUCGAUGCAACGCGAAGAACCUUACCUACUCUUGACAUCCAGAGAACUUAGCAGAGAUGCUUUGGUGCCUUCGGGAACUCUGAGACAGGUGCUGCAUGGCUGUCGUCAGCUCGUGUUGUGAAAUGUUGGGUUAAGUCCCGCAACGAGCGCAACCCUUAUCCUUUGUUGCCAGCGAUUCGGUCGGGAACUCAAAGGAGACUGCCGGUGAUAAACCGGAGGAAGGUGAGGAUGACGUCAAGUCAUCAUGGCCCUUACGAGUAGGGCUACACACGUGCUACAAUGGCGCAUACAAAGAGAAGCGAUCUCGCGAGAGUCAGCGGACCUCAUAAAGUGCGUCGUAGUCCGGAUUGGAGUCUGCAACUCGACUCCAUGAAGUCGGAAUCGCUAGUAAUCGUGGAUCAGAAU
rnacentral:rRNA from 1 species